rnacentral:rRNA from 1 species
UUACGCUAAUACCGCAUACGAUCUAAGGAUGAAAGCGGGGGAUCGCAAGACCUCGCGCGGUUGGAGCGGCCGAUAUCAGAUUAGGUAGUUGGUGAGGUAAAGGCUCACCAAGCCGACGAUCUGUAGCUGGUCUGAGAGGACGACCAGCCACACUGGGACUGAGACACGGCCCAGACUCCUACGGGAGGCAGCAGUGGGGAAUUUUGGACAAUGGGCGCAAGCCUGAUCCAGCAAUGCCGCGUGCAGGAUGAAGGCCUUCGGGUUGUAAACUGCUUUUGUACGGAACGAAACGGUGAGCUCUAAUACAGUUUGCUAAUGACGGUACCGUAAGAAUAAGCACCGGCUAACUACGUG